rnacentral:rRNA from 1 species
UGCCAGCCGCCGCGGUAAUACGGAGGGUGCAAACGUUGCUCGGAAUCAUUGGGCGUAAAGCGCACGUAGGCGGCCAUGUAAGUUGGGUGUGAAAGCCCAGGGCUCAACCCUGGAAGUGCAUCCAAAACUGCAUGGCUUGAAUACCGGAGGGGCUCAGAGAAUUCCCGGUGUAGAGGUGAAAUUCGUAGAUAUCGGGAGGAAUACCAGUGGCGAAGGCGCUGGGCUGGACGGUUAUUGACGCUGAGGUGCGAAAGCGUGGGGAGCAAACAGGAUUAGAUA